GCUCAUUUUUGGUACCUUAUUUCCGAGACUGUUUGCCCCAUAACCCUUAAAAUAUAUCUCAACCUUCUACUUAUGGUAUUAAACAUUGUGGUACAAUUUCAGAACAAUUGAAAUACUUAUACACAACUUAUUGUUGACACUAGAUAAAUGCUAUUUUUGGGCCCUUUUGGCCCGUAAUUCCUAAACCUUAGGGACCUUAACCCCCAUAAUCAAUCCCAAGCUUCCUUUUGUGGUUAUAAACAUUGUGUUAAAAUUUUAUUGAUUUCUGUCCACUUAUACUAAAGUUAUUAUCCGGAAACCAUCCGUCUUUGCACGACGCUCCUAGAAAUACAAGUUCUACAAAAUGCCUAUAUGACUGGAAGUUUAUCGAAUCUAAUUGGUCGUUAUAAUGACUUAAACAGAAAACAUAACAUUGAAAAUAGCUUAUUAACAAAUUCACAGGAUCAUGACCUAGGAGACAAUGCCUCAAAAUAGAGUCUUCAAACUGGUAUGUACUAUUAGUCAUACAACUUCAUAUUAAAUAUCAGUUAUUUAUCUCAAGUAGUUUCUAU
rnacentral:lncRNA from 1 species